GAUGAACGCUGGCGGCGUGCCUAAUACAUGCAAGUCGGACGGGGCGCUUCGGCGCUCAGUGGCGAACGGGUGAGUAGCACAUGGGCAACCUGCCCUUCAGAGGGGGACAACAGCUGGAAACGACUGCUAAUACCGCAUAACAUAUUCGGACCGCAUGAUCUGAAUAUCAAAGCUUUAUGUGCUGAAAGAUGGCCUCGCGUCUGAUUAGCUAGUUGGUGGGGUAACGGCCCGACCAAGGCGACGAUCAGUAGCCGGUCUGAGAGGAUGAACGGGCCACAUUGGGACUGAGAUACGGCCCAG
rnacentral:rRNA from 1 species